AAGGGUAUAGCUUAAGUGGUAGAGUGCAUGCUUAGCAUGCAGGAGGUUCUGGGUCCAAUCCCCAGUGCCUCCU
rnacentral:tRNA from 1 species